AGAGUUGAUCCUGGCUCAGGAUGAACGCUAGCGGCAGGCUAACACAUGCAAGUCGAGGGGUAACAGGAAAAAGCUUGCUUUUUUGCUGACGACCGGCGCACGGGUGCGUAACGCGUAUGCAACCUACCCUGUACUGGAGGAUAGCCCGGAGAAAUCUGGAUUAAUACUCCAUAGUAUCAUUCUAUCACUGAUAGAUUGAUUAAAGGUUACGGUACAGGAUGGGCAUGCGUCCCAUUAGCUAGAUGGUAAGGUAACGGCUUACCAUGGCUACGAUGGGUAGGGGGCCUGAGAGGGUGAUCCCCCACACUGGUACUGAGACACGGACCAGACUCCUACGGGAGGCAGCAGUGAGGAAUAUUGGACAAUGGAGGCAACUCUGAUCCAGCCAUGCCGCGUGCAGGAAGACUGCCCUAUGGGUUGUAAACUGCUUUUAUUUGGGAAUAAACCUCCUUACGUGUAGGGAGCUGAAUGUACCAAACGAAUAAGGACCGGCUAACUCCGUGCCAGCAGCCGCGGUAAUACGGAGGGUCCAAGCGUUAUCCGGAAUCAUUGGGUUUAAAGGGUCCGCAGGCGGAUUUGUAAGUCAGUGGUGAAAUCCUACAGCUUAACUGUAGAACUGCCAUUGAUACUGCAAGUCUUGAAUUCGGUCGAAGUGGGCGGAAUAUGUCAUGUAGCGGUGAAAUGCUUAGAUAUGACAUAGAACACCGAUAGCGAAGGCAGCUCACUAGGCCUGGAUUGACGCUCAGGGACGAAAGCGUGGGGAGCGAACAGGAUUAGAUACCCUGGUAGUCCACGCCGUAAACUAUGAUUACUCGUUUUCGGCGAUAUUACAGUCGGAGACUAAGCGAAAGUGAUAAGUAAUCCACCUGGGGAGUACGAUCGCAAGGUUGAAACUUAAAGGAAUUGACGG
rnacentral:rRNA from 1 species